UUUCCGUAGGUGAACCUGCGGAAGGAUCAUUACUGAGUGAGGGCCCCUCGGGGUCCAACCUCCCACCCGUGUUUAACGAACCUUGUUGCUUCGGCGGGCCCGCCUCACGGCCGCCGGGGGGCAUCUGCCCCCGGGCCCGCGCCCGCCGAAGCCACCUGUGAACGCUGUCUGAAGUAUGCAGUCUGAGACAAUUAUUAAAUUAAUUAAAACUUUCAACAACGGAUCUCUUGGCUCUC
rnacentral:misc_RNA from 1 species